rnacentral:rRNA from 1 species
AGAGUUUGAUCAUGGCUCAGGAUGAACGCUAGCGGCAGGCCUAACACAUGCAAGUCGAGGGGCAGCGCGGGUGGCAACACCUGGCGGCGACCGGCGCACGGGUGCGUAACGCGUAUGGAACCUGCCCACCGCAGGGGGAUAGCCCGUCGAAAGGCGGAUCAAUACCCCAUGGUCCCUAGGGCCCGCAUGGGCUUUAGGGUAAAGAUUUAUCGGCGGUGGAUGGCCAUGCGUGCCAUUAGCUGGUUGGUGGGGUAACGGCCCACCAAGGCGAUGAUGGCUAGGGGGUCUGAGAGAAUGGUCCCCCACACUGGUACUGAGACACGGACCAGACUCCUACGGGAGGCAGCAGUGAGGAAUAUUGGUCAAUGGGCGGAAGCCUGAACCAGCCAUGCCGCGUGCAGGAUGACGGCCCUACGGGUUGUAAACUGCUUUUGUGCGGGAAGAAUAACCCCCUCGUGAGGGGGGAUGCCGGUACCGCGCGAAUAAGGAUCGGCUAACUCCGUGCCAGCAGCCGCGGUAAUACGGAGGAUCCGAGCGUUAUCCGGAUUUACUGGGUUUAAAGGGUGCGUAGGCGGGCUCUUAAGUCUGCGGUGAAAGUCGGCGGCUCAACCGUCGGAUUGCCGUGGAUACUGGGGGCCUUGGGUACGGUCGGGGCCGGCGGAAUGCGUGGUGUAGCGGUGAAAUGCUUAGAUAUCACGCGGAACGCCGAUCGCGAAAGGCAGCUGGGCCAGGCCGUUACCGACGCUGAGGCACGAAAGCGUGGGGAUCAAACAGGAUUAGAUACCCUGGUAGUCCACGCUGUAACGAUGAUCACUGGGUGCCGGCGAUACACGUCGGUGCCUGAGCGAAAGCAUUAAGUGAUCCACCUGGGGAGUACGAUCGCAGGUGAAACUCAAAGGAAUUGACGG